GACGAACGCUGGCGGCGUGCCUAAUACAUGCAAGUUGAGCGCUGAAGGUUGGUACUUGUACCAACUGGAUGAGCAGCGAACGGGUGAGUAACGCGUGGGGAAUCUGCCUUUGAGCGGGAGACAACAUUUGGAAACGAAUGCUAAUACCGCAUAAAAACUUUAAACACAAGUUUUAAGUUUGAAAGAUGCAAUUGCAUCACUCAAAGAUGAUCCCGCGUUGUAUUAGCUAGUUGGUGAGGUAAAGGCUCACCAAGGCGAUGAUACAUAGCCGACCUGAGAGGGUGAUCGGCCACAUUGGGACUGAGACACGGCCCAAACUCCUACGGGAGGCAGCAGUAGGGAAUCUUCGGCAAUGGACGAAAGUCUGACCGAGCAACGCCGCGUGAGUGAAGAAGGUUUUCGGAUCGUAAAACUCUGUUGGUAGAGAAGAACGUUGGUGAGAGUGGAAAGCUCAUCAAGUGACGGUAACUACCCAGAAAGGGACGGCUAACUACGU
rnacentral:rRNA from 1 species